rnacentral:rRNA from 1 species
AUUGAACGCUGGCGGCAGGCCUAACACCUGCAAGUCGAACGCGUGGAGGACGGGUGAGUAAUGUCUGGGAACCUGCCCGAUGGCUGGGGAUAACUAAUGGAAAGAGUAGAUAAUACCGCAUACCAUCGGAGUGGCCCAUAUCGGCUUAGCUAUUUGGUGGGGUAAAGGGUCACAAAGGAGACGAUCCCUAGCGUGUUUGAGAGGAGGACCAGCCACACUGUAACGGGGACACGGUCCAGACUCCUACGGGAGUCAGCAGUGGGGAAUAUGGCACAAGGGGGGAAAGCUGGAUGCAGCCAUGCCGCGUGGAUGAAGAAGGCCUUCGGGUUGUAAAGUACUUUCAGCGGGGAGGCGUUACCCGCAGAAGAAGCACCGGCUAACUCCGUGCCAGCAGCCGCGGUAAUUC